rnacentral:rRNA from 1 species
GAUGAACGCUGGCGGCGUGCCUAAUACAUGCGAGUCGAGCGAACGGACGAGAAGCUUGCUUUUCUGAUGUUAGCGGCGGACGGGUGAGUAACACGUGGAUAACCUACCUAUAAGACUGGGAUAACUUCGGGAAACCGGAGCUAAUACCGGAUAAUAUUUUGAACCGCAUGGUUCAAAAGUGAAAGACGGUCUUGCUGUCACUUAUAGAUGGAUCCGCGCUGCAUUAGCUAGUUGGUAAGGUAACGGCUUACCAAGGCAACGAUGCAUAGCCGACCUGAGAGGGUGAUCGGCCACACUGGAACUGAGACACGGUCCGGACUCCUACGGGAGGCAGCAGUAGGGAAUCUUCCGCAAUGGGCGAAAGCCUGACGGAGCAACGCCGCGUGAGUGAUGAAGGUCUUCGGAUCGUAAAACUCUGUUAUUAGGGAAGAACAUAUGUGUAAGUAACUGUGAACAUCUUGACGGUACCUAAUCAGAAAGCCACGGCUAACUACGUG